rnacentral:rRNA from 1 species
UACAGAGGAGCCAAGCGUUGUCCGGAUUGACUGGGCGUAAAGCGCACGCAGGCGGUCGCGCGCGUGGGGUGUGAAAUCUGGCCGCUUAACGGCCAGGCGCCAUCCCAUACGGCGCGACUCGAGCCAUGCAGAGGCGGUGGAAUUGCCGGUGUAGUGGUGAAAUGCGUAGAGAUCGGCAGGAACACCCAGGGGGGAAACCAGCCGCCUGGGCAUGCGCUGACGCUGAGGUGCGAGAGCGUGGGGAGCGAACCGG